CACUGGCAGCUCAAGUGGUGGCCGUUUUUAUUGGGCCUAAAGCGUUCGUAGCCGGUUUGAUAAGUCUCUGGUGAAAUCCUACAGCUUAACUGUGGGAAUUGCUGGAGAUACUAUCAGACUUGAGGUCGGGAGAGGUUAGAGGAACUCCCAGGGUAGGGGUGAAAUCCUAUAAUCCUGGGAGGACCACCUGUGGCGAAGGCGUCCAGCUGGAACGGACCUGACGGUGAGUAACGAAAGCCAGGGGCGCGAACCGGAUUAGAUACCCGUGUAGUCCCUGAGCGGG
rnacentral:rRNA from 1 species